GGAUGUAUGUAUAUUCUGAAAAUUCCUUUGUUCUAAUAAAAUCUUUACUAAUCUGUGUUGUGGACAUUUAGGCUUUUACGGCUUAAAGCAAGUCAGCCUAGAAUGGUUUGUUCCUGUGGUAUUUAGAGAAUCUAUCCAAGACAAGGCAGUCUUGAUUGUUUUCCCCCCUCUACUUUCUUUUGUGAUUACUUUUUGCUUCUGUAGGUGGUAACCAUAGGGUUUAUGGUUGGGUAAGGAUUGAUGCUAGUAAUCCUUGUAGAAUUAACUGUUGCAGAUAGUUGGCUUCAAAAUUAUGACAACUUCAUCUAUAGGCCUAGUUGAUAAUGGCCUCUUAAAUUAAAAGGCACUUUUUUUAAUUUUUUUUAAUAUUCUGCCUUUACCUAGGUGGCUCAUGACCACCGCUUUUUUUAAUUGAAAAGAAAGAUAGAUCGCUGUCCCUGACUUUGUUGCUUUUCAGUGAGAAACAUUUAUCUUUCUUGAUGUUGAGAUAUUAUUCUAAUGCAACGGUUACUGAACUUGCAAUUGAUUAAGAUCAAGUUACAUUUGGAUAGAUAUCUUGAAACUCAAGGAUGUGAAUUUAAUAUUUUAGUCCAAAUUGUACAAUUAAAGAUUUAAAAUGAUACCUUCUUAAUAGGCGAAUUUGAUUCUUCCUAGAACAAGUUUCAUUCAUUUUGAAUCCAGUAAACGAAACCUCAUUCAAGUAAUUUAAACUAAAUUUUCAAUUCAUAUCUCUCCAAUUCAAAAUUUUCUAAUCCAAGAUGACCUAUAUGUAUUUUUAUUCUUGUGUGAGCAAACUAGAUUUGGUUUGCUACGUAUUUUUUCCAUCUCAUUUCCUUUCCUUCAUUAUUGUUUUCUCAGCCCUUGUUAGAUGUUUGGAGUUCCAUACUCUUGAAUGUUGAGUGCUCUAUUAAAAUAAGAUUGUAUUGAGUGUCUGAUACAAUGUGAU
rnacentral:misc_RNA from 1 species